GUUACAGACAUUUUUAUAGUACUUCUAAAUAUACACUAAUCGGCUCCUAAUUCAGCCGGAUUGCGUAUGCAAUUUAUCUAUCCAAGAUAAGCAGUUUCUCUGCCAGUCUCGACAAUUAGCUUCCAGUUGUGUUCGGUCAACUGAAUUCCUUCUCGUAAAAUUAAACUGUAAAUGGUUGUGUAUUUUACAGGCACGUGUGACUUACGCAACUGUCGGGCCGAAUUAACGAGACACUGUGACAAGACUAGACUUUUUGAAUUGCAAGAACAACUCAGAGAAUGAGAAAAGAAGGAAUCGGCGCUUCUUUUGUUUCUAGGGUCCCCUAAAGUGAAAAGAAUUGAUCUUGUCAUAAGCUGGUGCUUAUCAGAUUAACCGGAUCUAAAGUUUUAAAUAAUAGUUCAAAUGUGUUCGUAUCAAUUUCAAUGGUCACACCGACACGAUUGAUUUGAAUUGAAUUUUUAUUAAAAAGCCCUGUGCAUAUA
rnacentral:lncRNA from 1 species